CCUACGGGAGGCUGCAGUCGAGAAUCUUCGGCAAUGAGCGCAAGCUUGACCGAGCGACGCCGCGUGCGGGAUGAAGGCUUUCGGGUUGUAAACCGCUGUCAGUGGGGAGGAAAUUCGGGGGAGCUAUCUCCUUCGAUUGACCGAUCCGCAGAGGAAGGACGGGCUAAGUUCGUGCCAGCAGCCGCGGUAAGACGAACCGUCCGAACGUUAUUCGGAAUCACUGGGCUUAAAGAGUGCGUAGGCGGCCUAUCAGGCGGGGUGUGAAAUCCCUCGGC
rnacentral:rRNA from 1 species